UCUUUAGUGGUGCAGUGGUAGCGCACGUCUCCGGUACAUGUUGAACGCGAGUUCAACUCCCGCCUGAGGUCGAA